rnacentral:rRNA from 1 species
UACGUAGGGGGCGAGCGUUGUCCGGAUUUAUUGGGCGUAAAGAGCGUGUAGGCGGCCAGGUAGGUCUGCUGUGAAAACUCGAGGCUUAACCUCGAGAUGUCGGCGGAAACCAUCUGGCUAGAGUCCGGAAGAGGAGAGUGGAAUUCCUGGUGUAGCGGUGAAAUGCGCAGAUAUCAGGAAGAACACCUAUGGCGAAGGCAGCUCUCUGGGACGGUACUGACGCUGAGACGCGAAAGCGUGGGGAGCGAACAGG